rnacentral:rRNA from 1 species
GACGAACGCUGGCGGCGUGCUUAACACAUGCAAGUCGAACGGAAAGGCCCUGCUUUUGUGGGGUGCUCGAGUGGCGAACGGGUGAGUAACACGUGAGUAACCUGCCCUUGACUUUGGGAUAACUUCAGGAAACUGGGGCUAAUACCGGAUAGGAGCUCCUGCUGCAUGGUGGGGGUUGGAAAGUUUCGGCGGUUGGGGAUGGACUCGCGGCUUAUCAGCUUGUUGGUGGGGUAGUGGCUUACCAAGGCUUUGACGGGUAGCCGGCCUGAGAGGGUGACCGGCCACAAGGGACUUGAGAUACGGCCAAGCAUCUAAGGGGGGGGGAAGAGGGGAAAAAUCGGACAGUGGGCGAAGCCCUGAUAAAAAACCGCCGGGGGGGGGAUGACGGCGUUCGGGUUGUAAACCGCUUCGGCCUGUGACGAGGGGGAAGGGACGGAAAUGGGGAAGGAACCCCCGGCAAACCACGG